CAGUCCAAUGCAAAAGACGGAAACAACUGCUGCCAACCCUAAAGACAAAUGGAUUCUCAUUAUUAGUACGGAGGACUGAAAGAUCACGGUACAGAGUGAAGGAAGCUCGACGCUGUAGAGUGAUUUUGAUCAGUCCAACACAAAACUGGAAAUGCAAGGUUCUCAGGAACAUUCCUCAGAUGCAGAAUAAAAGAAGCUCAACACUGUAGAAUGGUUUUGAUGACAAAACUGGAACUUCAAGCUUCUCUAACAAGAACAUUC